GAUGAACGCUGGCGGCGUGCUUAACACAUGCAAGUCGAACGGAAAGGCUCCUGCUUGCAGGGGUACUCGAGUGGCGAACGGGUGAGUAACACGUGGGUGAUCUGCCCUGCACUUCGGGAUAAGCCUGGGAAACUGGGUCUAAUACCGGAUAGGACGAUGGUUUGGAUGCCAUUGUGGAAAGUUUUUCGGUGUGGGAUGAGCUCGCGGCCUAUCAGCUUGUUGGUGGGGUAAUGGCCUACCAAGGCGUCGACGGGUAGCCGGCCUGAGAGGGUGUACGGCCACAUUGGGACUGAGAUACGGCCCAGACUCCUACGGGAGGCAGCAGUGGUGAAUAUUGCACAAUGGGCGCAAGCCUGAUGCAGCGACGCCGCGUGGGGGAUGACGGCCUUCGGGUUGUAAACUCCUUUCGCUAGGGACGAAGCGCAAGUGACGGUACCUGGAGAAGAAGCACCGGCUAACUACGUG
rnacentral:rRNA from 1 species